GUGUGCCAUCUGCAGGCAAAUGGAAGUGAUGAGCCAUCUUGUGCACUGGGUGUUCCUAGCUGUCUACAUGUAUGAGCUGAAUGCAGAAUUGAUCUCUCAUUUACAUCCUCCAGAACAAGUUGUAUCUCCCUCCACAGUGACUAUGAUUGGUGUUCUCUUGACUUUCAAUUCCAAGGAAGGUGGCGGUACUGUACAGCACAGGAUCCCCCAAAGUGUAUUUUCCCUUUCCAAUUCAAACAGAAGCUCAUUAAGAAGUGCACCAAGGAGGGCUAUAUUUUGAAUCGGAGUUGGUGUUCAUUGACUGAAAAUUACAACCAAGAUGGAAAAUGGAAGCAAUGUUCUCCUAACAAUUUUUAGGUAUGCUUGUGUGUUUUAGAAGACAGGAGUUAUAGAUACAUCAGAUGUUCCUCCAAAUGUAAUUAAUCCUUUAUCUUUAUGGAGAAAUCUGUUAAUAAACUUCUGUUCUCUUAUC
rnacentral:lncRNA from 1 species